rnacentral:rRNA from 1 species
ACUCCUACGGGAGGCAGCAGUGGGGAAUAUUGCACAAUGGGCGCAAGCCUGAUGCAGCCAUGCCGCGUGUAUGAAGAAGGCCUUCGGGUUGUAAAGUACUUUCAGCAGUGAGGAAGGUGGGUAUGUUAAUAGCAUACUCAUUUGACGUUAGCUGCAGAAGAAGCACCGGCUAACUCCGUGCCAGCAGCCGCGGUAAUACGGAGGGUGCGAGCGUUAAUCGGAAUUACUGGGCGUAAAGCGCAUGCAGGUGGUUUGUUAAGUCAGAUGUGAAAGCCCGGGGCUCAACCUCGGAAUUGCAUUUGAAACUGGCAAACUAGAGUACUGUAGAGGGGGUAGAAUUUCAGGUGUAGCGGUGAAAUGCGUAGAGAUCUGAAGGAAUACCGGUGGCGAAGGCGGCCCCCUGGACAGAUACUGACACUCAGAUGCGAAAGCGUGGGGAGCAAACAGGAUUAGAU